rnacentral:rRNA from 1 species
AUUGAACGCUGGCGGCAGGCCUAACACAUGCAAGUCGAACGGUAGCACAGAGAGCUUGCUCUCGGGUGACGAGUGGCGGACGGGUGAGUAACGUCUGGGAAACUGCCCGAUGGAGGGGGAUAACUACUGGAAACGGUAGCUAAUACCGCAUAACGUCGCAAGACCAAAGUGGGGGACCUUCGGGCCUCACCCCAUCGGAGGUGCCCAGAUGGGAUUAGCUAGUAGGUGGGGUAAUGGCUCACCUAGGCGACGAUCCCUAGCUGGUCUGAGAGGAUGACCAGCCACACUGGAACUGAGACACGGUCCAGACUCCUACGGGAGGCAGCAGUGGGGAAUAUUGCACAAUGGGCGCAAGCCUGAUGCAGCCAUGCCGCGUGUAUGAAGAAGGCCUUCGGGUUGUAAAGUACUUUCAGCGGGGAGGAAGGCGGUGAAGUUAAUAGCUUCACCGAUUGACGUUACCCGCAGAAGAAGCACCGGCUAACUCCGUGCCAGCCGCCGCCGUAA